rnacentral:rRNA from 1 species
UACGUAGGGGGCUAGCGUUGUCCGGAAUCAUUGGGCGUAAAGAGCGCGUAGGCGGCCAGAUAAGUCCGGUGUGAAAGUCAAAGGCUCAACCUUUGAAUGCCGCUGGAAACUGUCUGGCUAGAGUCCGGGAGGGGCGAGUGGAAUUCCUGGUGUAGCGGUGAAAUGCGCAGAUAUCAGGAGGAACACCGAUUGCGAAGGCAGCUCGCUGGGACGUAACUGACGCUGAGACGCGAAAGCGUGGGGAGCAAACAGG